AGCCCUCAGCUUUCAGAUACCACUGACGUUAUUUGGCAAGACAUUGAUGAUUUAGAGGGAUUGGAUCGUCUAUGGGGGGCAAUAUUCAGAAGCUGAAAGUGUGCCAUAACAAAUACUGUCUUAGCCUUUAAAAAUAUCUACAGAUGACUUUUAGACUGGAAUUCACAAGUAGGUGGUGGAGCCCCUUUGUGUGUGAGGGUUCAAGUGUAUGGGCUCAUUGACUACUUGUGUCCAUUCACUUCCUACCACUCCUCAAGUGGGUGCGCCUUCAAGCCCAGGCCUCUUUGCGCAGGUGAAUGGAGAGGUACAAAUCUAGCAGCACUGGAGGAAAGACAUUAACGAGGAUGUUAGGUCCUGGCACUCAUGUGCUUCUGGAGGUUGGCCAUGGCUAGAGACACUUGAGAGAGUUGCUUGCCAAAAUCUCUAAGGAGGCUUGCUAAAGAGAGUCCAGUCUGAGGUAUAGUAAGAGAUCUCUCCUAACAUUAUGUGACUGGUUUCCGGAGGGUUUAGGUUCAGGUAACCACCAUCCAAGAUAUGCCUGUAGAGACUGAUAAUUGUGUCUGGAGAGAAGGAUGUUUGUCAGAGAAAACACACCUGAGGAAUCAGUACCUAAUGACUGAUAAACACUUGUUCUUGAUGAUCCCUAGAGGUAUUUAUGAUAUCCUCACCCUGGUCACACCUGCCACCUAGUCUAAAGGUGAAGUCAGCUGAAACUUCUGGCCCCUGGUUUCACCAUGAGAGACUUGCUAGAUGAACUUAAGAUUCAGUGUCCUAGCUCCUGGGGAAAGGAAUGAUUCACAUAGUGUUCAGAACCAUGAGGCUUAUUUUCUGUCUGCCCCCCCGCCCCGGUUUGUUUGUUUUUUUUUUU